CACGUAGUUAGCCGGGGCUUGCUCCUUAGUUACCGUCAUUAUUCUUCACUAAGAACAGAAGUUUACAAUCCGAAAACCGUCUUCCUUCACGCGGCGUUGCUGCAUCAGGCUUUCGCCCAUUGUGCAAUAUUCCCCACUGCUGCCUCCCGUAGGAGUCUGGGCCGUGUCUCAGUCCCAAUGUGGCCGUUCAACCUCUCAGUCCGGCUACUGAUCGUCGACUUGGUAGGCCGUUACCCACCAACUAUCUAAUCAGACGCGAGUCCAUCCUUAGGCGCCUCAGCUUUGGUAUAUCUACGAUGCCGUUAAUAUACUUUAUAUGGUAUUACCGUCCGUUUCCAGACGCUAUCCCUUUCCUAAGGGCAGGUUACUCACGCGUUACUCACCCGUCCGCACUCAGUCAUAUCAGAUUUCUUACCGAAGAAAUCCAUCAUCAAGCUUCGUCACUUGCAUGUGUUAGGCUACGCCGCCAGCGUUCGUCCUGUACGCCACGGAGACAAACUACGUCUCGUACG
rnacentral:rRNA from 1 species